GUUGUAAUAAAACUAAGCUUUAUACUUAGGACUAUCAACAUAAUAUCAAUGAUUAGUAUAGAAGGCGAGACAUUUCAGCGUGUGCACUCUUGUUGUAAUUCGUUGAAGGAGUUAUCCCGUAGUAGAUAUUGAAUUUAACGGGUAUAUCAAAAUCUGGAGAAUCCCAACCGAUCGCAAUACUGGUUUGAUUGCGUAGUAGUAGCUGUAAAUUGCUUGGAGUCGGUGGAACUAAAUAGAAACGUUUGAAAUCACUCAACAUUAUUAAGUAAUAAAAUGCAGUCUAACAAAGUUUGCAAAAUCAAUAAAAAGAAUGACACGUUUUGUGGUUGAUAUGUCAAUCACAUAACGUUAAGAUGCAACCAUAUGUUAUAAUGAUAUAUCCCUAUACCUUAAAGAUAUAACCACAUUACGUGAAGAUAUAACCAUGUAACGUAAAGAUAUAAGCAAGACACGAAAAAGAUAUUACACAUGUACCACAUAUUAACGUUUGUAUGUAAACAUAUAACGUUUGAGCGUUCCUGGUGAAGUUUAAUCUAGACAAAUCGCAUCUGACGCACCAAUUCAUAUCGAACUAUUAUAAUUCAAUGUACUGUAAAUUCACAGAAAAAUAUAUUGAUUGGCAAUUUGUACAUUUUCCAUCCUAC
rnacentral:lncRNA from 1 species